UUUUCCGGGAAAUCCUUGGCCAGCAGAGCAUGGGGCCCCAGGCAAAGGCAGGCUCGGUGUCCCUUCCUGGUUGUUCAAGGCGUGUGUCUGUUCCUGUUCUCUGGGUUCACCUGGCAGAGAGGAGGUGUUCGGACAGAUCUCGCCCACCAGCAGGAGGGGGAGGGCACCUAGGAGUAUGUCCGAGAAUCGCUUCUGGUCCUGGUGUGGCCGCUGGUCGCUGGUGCCAAUCACGGGAAGACUGAAGGUCUCAGGUCCACAGAGCUGCUCCAGGUUGCUCACGUCUUACACUGGCACCCACGCUCUGCUCACUGUUUCCUGAAUCACCGGCCCUUGGGAGAGCUCAGGGCUUACUUCAGCCCACAAGACGUAGAUGGAUGAAAUCUUCCCAUCUUGCCUGGGCUUCUUCCUCUGAGGCUGAAGACGGCCUGGUCCGGCCUGGGGAAGAAGUGGGCCGAGCACAGAGGAAGGCCAGGCCCACGCCCGGAAGAAGCGAUUGGAGUUUCCUCAGAAGACUGCGGUAGUUUUAAGGCGUAGACCUUGGAGCCAAACCACAUGGGUUCAAAUGCCACAUCUGCCACACGCUAACUUUGUGACUUCGGCAAGUUACUUCAUGUUUCUGUGCCUCAGUUUCCCCAUUGUACCUCAUACAGUUAUGAAGAUUUAGUGAGUUGAAUGCCUCACGUGCUUUAAACAGAGGCUGGCACAUUGUGAGCACUACAGGAGGUAAGUCAGAGCUCCCCUCAGUGUGUAAGUUCAUUACAUGGAAGAUGAGAUUUUAACCCCAAUAAGAUCAUCAAAUUUAAUUAACUCAGCUUUAAGGUUCAAGGCCAAAGGUUGUGCUUAACUGUCCCUCUCUUCCCUUAUACUGCUUAUUGAUCUUCCCUGGGAUCCAAAUCAACACUCAGUCAAAGCAACAGCCCAGCCUUGGCCCCAGCUCUGAAUGCAGAGAGUGAAUCCUAUGGCCCAGGGCGCUAGGCCAAGCUCUCUCCCAAGGGCUUGUACAUCCAGGGAGAAUUCCCUGCCUUCAGCGGCCUUGGAGGAACCACUGGGCAGCUAGCUGUCCCUCACAAACCCAGAAGAGUUGGCAGCCUUUAUCCUGCUGCUUCAUAUUAAAAUGCCUAUAUUCUCAGGCAUGACUUAGAAGUUGCCCAAUAGCCACACUAACAUUAGUUGCCUCUUUGUUGAAUGUGCUUACUGACAUAUGGCCUCUUUGGUGUCUGAGACCUUAGAGGAAAUGAGGGUAUAAAAGUGGAAGACAGAUAAAUAGUACCAUUGAACUUUACCAUGAAAAACUGUACCAUUUUCUCAGUGUCCCAUGUCUGCAUGUCACAGUGAUCAGCUAGAGAUUUGGGUCCAAAACUGAAAACACCUGUUCCUGAUAAACCUUGAUUCCCGCCCUGUGCCCCCUGUUCCCUCCACAAUGGGAGCCAGAGCUCUCCCUGCUGGCUUGCAUCCAUGACAGCGAGUUUGCAUGAAGCCAGGGCAUUUAUCUUUGGAAAACAGCGUGUAAAACUAGAGUGUGUCAACAUGAUGGAGUACUAUGUUGCCAUAAAAAAUGAUAAGCAUGUGCAUUGUGUCAAUAUAUGGAAAUGAGUAUGUGAAAUAAUGUUAAAUGGAAACAAGCAGAACACCCAGUAGUUUGCACACAAAUUACAAUGCCAUCAAUAAUCAUGUCUGCAUGCUCUUAAGCAAGGACUGCAAGCCAAGUUGGCGUAGUGUAAGCAGAGGAUUAUUUGCUGGACUCUUCUUUAUGCCCAUAGAAUCUUACAUAGUCUGUUUUUUGUAAUGAGUAGUAGAACAGGACAUGUGCGCUUAGACCAAAGAGAAGCAUUUAGCUGCUGAUACAAUUUCUUGGACAAGAAAGGACAAUUGCAGUGCUUAAAAAUAUGCCUCAAAGGGAGCAGCAAGUCUGCAAACCUACAGGCGUAUGAACUAAGCAGCCCCUGCCCCCCCAGGCUGGCUGCAGCCAUAUUUGUCCAGAUGGACAGAGGACCAAGCCCAGGGACGGAGAAUAGAGUGGGGGCUUCAUAUAGAUAGUGCUGACUCUUCACUCAGUUCACGCUUUGAUUUAAAGGAGGGUGAUCACAUUACCCUGGUGUGCCUUAAUUGUGCCCAUUGCCCUAAUAAUUAUUAGUAAUAAUGAAAAUUAUCAAUAACAUCCCUCUUAUUUCAAAGGUAUCCCUGUUAGGACAUCAAGUGUAAGAUCAGCCUACUUAAAGAGGCCACACAGGCCCCAACUUGUUGUCUAGCACCUGAAACGCUUGUAUACAGCCCCUCUGUUUCUCACCUCACAAUGCCCAGGGAACCAGGUUACUGCUUCUGCCCUCCCUUUGCAAGGACAGCUAGCCCUGGGUAGGAAUCGGGAUUACUGACGGCGCUGAGCUGGAGCCAGCUGGUGCCCGCCCACGAGAGCCACUGUACACACCUUCCCAACUCCACGUUCAAUGAUGUCAUGUUAGUAGCUUGAAAUCUGCAUUGAUGGAAGUAUUUACACCGCGAAAAUCAGGAAAACUGGGCUUUUUUUUUGUUUUUUCCCCCCACGGAGCUGGUUGUAAAAUACUUAACAGCACAUCUUGGAUUGCUGGAGUCAGUGAAGCCAGAAUGUAAACCAACUCAUGGGGCUCUCUGAUCACACCAGUUUGCACUUAGCCCCCAGCCAAAGCUCACCGCCUCAUCCGCACAAAGUGCUGAAGGUAACCAGAGACCGUGGGAUGUGGUGGUCCUCCCUUGCAGGAGGAAGAAAUGGACAGGCAUCCCUUGUUAUUUUCCACACACAUUAGAAACUAAACGAGAAUGCAGACACCAGUCUAUGCAAUUGUCCUGGCAGAUGGCAGCUUGAUGCAGCCAGCUCAUCCACUGCCUGGCCGGGUGGUGCGCAUCCCGUUAAAGCAGAUGACUGGUGGGGUGCAGCGCUGAGUCUGAUCUGGAUGACAGCUUUUGAACCACAGCUCCUUUGUCAUACAAGUCACUGAAAACCCCUGCCCCAAGUGUGGUGUCACUAUGCACAGUGGCUUAUUCCUUGGCACCAACAAUGUCAUUAAUUUUCCCCUCCCUCCCUCUGCAGCUCCUCAGGAUAGUCCUUUGAGAAAGUCACAUUACAUGAUCACAUACAACUCGUGACUGUCACGUGCUAUUUAUUGGCAGCUCUCUUUCAUAACCAUGGCAAACAUAUGAUGAGAUUUUCCAAAGUUUAAGAGGUUUUUUUAGAGUAACUUACUGGCAUGUGAACCUUGAUUAGUGAAUCGGCUAAACCCAAAAGGCUUAAUGGAAGAAUCAAAGGUGAAGGAAAUUCUGAAAUUCUAGUCUGAUCAUGGAACCUAGGACAUUGAAGAGGAAAGAGUGGAAGGGACAAUCACGGAAGUGACUUUGCAGUAACUGCAUGCUUGGCUGUGUCGGCUUCGAGGAUGAAGGGUGUGCAUCGAUCAGACAUCUGGGCACAAAAUACUCUGCUAAGUGGCACAGAAAAAUUAAGACAUGUGUUCUCUGCCUUUAUAAACUAGUGGAAGAGACAGGAAGAAGGCCAAGGAAAUAAUGAGGUGCCAGUAAUUGGGAGAGAGAAGACAGACAAAAAUGGCAGUCUCUGACGCACCCAGUGGUGGAGGGAGGCUGCAUCUGCGCUUGCAGCUGGCCUGGGUUAAUCAGGGAUGUCUGCUGGGAGGGGCUUUUGAGCAGGGCCUGUAUGUGUAUUCCACUAGCAGGUAUUGGGGGGGUGGAUUAUAGCUUCGUGAUCUGAAAGUGGACCGGAAAUUAUGAAAUCCUAGAAAUGAGGAAAGACCUUAGCAUGUUUGUCUUCAUUUCAACUCUCUUUAUUCCAGAGCACUCCCUGACAACCUUUCAUAUCUUUUCUCAAUGACAAUUCCAUUACCCUGAUAGUUUCCUCAAAGUCUGAGUGAGUCUACAUCCUCUAUGGAAGAAUUAGAACAGGUGAUGGUAUAACCUCUGAAGGGACAGCCAGGCUCCUGCUCUGCUCUAGUUACUCGUUUACUUUCCAGUCCCUCCCACCAGCCUGUGAGGUCUGUGACCACUGCCCACUCAGUGCCAAGUGCAGUGGGGGUAAUGCAGCCUCAGCCUUUGCUGAACAGACAGGCUCUGCUCUGUGAUUGCAGGGGUCACCACCUUGUGCAUUAUUUCUAUCACAUGCAAAUCCUUAUACCUGUCUCAGGUAAACUCCAUUCUCGAAAAGACAUUUUUCUGCUCACAUCACCACCUUGCCAUCAGUUGGAGCAAAUGUUCUUUCUAGGUUUCUUCAGGCUCUAAGAAGGUAAAGUUUUUCAGUGAUUUAAAGAUCAGAUUGUAUUGAGCAAAACUUUUUGUUGAAAAAAAUAUGUAUAUUUGAAACAAACAUUAAUUUGUGCUUUGGUAAAGAGUUGGGUCCAAUAUAAUCUUAUGAUGCUGAGUGAAUAUAGUCUGUAAUAAGGGGGAAAAUGGGAGACCAGAGAGCAAUGAUCCCAGCUAUAGGUGAUGACAUUGAUUUUUAUGUUACUUAGAUUUCUAUACCCAAGGCAGUCAACUUUAAAUUAUACAAGCAUCUGAGGAAAAGUCUGUACAUGUUUGUAUAAGAUUUUAGUUCUAUAAGCAGAGAGUCAAAGACAGUGACCUGAGAUAGUGCUCUACAGACACGUGUCCCUGUCCUUGGGCACAGUGGGACUGAAGUCGUUCUUUCUGUAGAUCUCGGUGGUAUAGAUGGUGCCCUUGGUGCCUUCACAGAAACCCCUUAAAUGUCUGCUUGUGUUUCAGAAUAGCAGUUAGAUCACAUGCCAAUGCAUGGUCUUCUCAUGAUCUCAGGACAGAGCGAUCACCUGUCCCUGCUUUCCAGGUGUGACAAAAUGGGGUGUUUGAUUCUAACCUGUCACUCGUAGGCAGAUGACAACUCUUAAAAGAGUUGAACUCUCAUGUAUAUGUUUUCAUCUUGAGAUGCUUUUUAUGAGUUUCAAUAAUGUGAACAGGUGGAGUUGUCUAAAACUCAGCUUUAUUUUUUCAUUUGUUCUGAUAAGUAAUUGACCAAUUUUCUUGACUCAUGGUUCAUUAAUCUCUAUUGUCAGCUCUGGGGAUAAUUCUCUUUAGAAAUUUUCUGAGCUUCUCACUAGGAUGUGUGUUGUGGGCCACAAGUAGUAUUUAACAAUCCCUUCAUUCCUCUGUGUCUGGGUUGAUAUGAGAGAUUAAAAAUUGGGACUUAAGUGAUGCCCAAUCCCAAAUAACUGUAAAGGUAGAGCUAAUUUCUGGAGCAUGACAAUCUGUUAAAGGGGUAGAAAGUAAAAUCACAGUGUGUCUCAGAUUUAAUUAAAUGGGUGAGUAGUCAUUUGGGGACAGCCAUAAGUUAGAAGUCUGCGUCUCUUUGGGAUAUUGGUGUUUUUUUCUUUUUCUCCCCAAAAGUUUAUCCCAAUUUAUUGUCUCAAUGAAAUAUAAAAGCCAAAAUCUCAGUGGACCUUUUAAAUUUCUACUCCAGUCAAAGCAUUCCACUUAUCAGAUUGUACCCCAAUUCCUAAGAAAGUAUAUUAGAGAUUUUUUGUCUUGGACAAAAUUCUUCACAAAGUCAUAGAGCUAGUGGGAAUGUCAGAGAUCAUAUACUUCAAUGUCCCCAUUUCACAGAUGAGAAAACCAGAAUUUAGAGAGAUCAAGUGAUCUGACCAAGGUCACUCAGCACAUUAGUGGCAGAGUGAGGGCAAGACCCAUUCUGUGCUCUGUCCAUCACACUACACUCUCUGUCUGGUAUACAGACCACCUUGCUCCUGCUGGCUCUUAUUUAUUACCCUUUCUCAUACUUAUCCUACCACU